GAUUGUAGCUCAGUGGUAGUACUCGCUUUGUAUGUAAUCAGGUUUUGAGUUGUAUUUUAACAUUCCAUCUGCAUAUAGACACUUGAUUGUAGCUCAGUGGUAGUACUCGCUUUGUAUGUAAUCAGGUUUUGAGUUGUAUUUUAACAUUCCAUCUGCAUAUAGACACUUGAUUGUAGCUCAGUGGUAGUACUCGCUUUGUAUGUAAUCAGGUUUUGAGUUGUAUUUUAACAUUCCAUCUGCAUAUAGACACUUGAUUGUAGCUCAGUGGUAGUACUCGCUUUGUAUGUAAUCAGGUUUUGAGUUGUAUUUUAACAUUCCAUCUGCAUAUAGACACUUGAUUGUAGCUCAGUGGUAGUACUCGCUUUGUAUGUAAUCAGGUUUUGAGUUGUAUUUUAACAUUCCAUCUGCAUAUAGACACUUGAUUGUAGCUCAUUGGUAGUACUCGUUUUGUAUGUAAUCAGGUUUUGAGUUGUAUUUUAACAUUCCAUCUGCAUAUAGACACUUGAUUGUAGCUCAGUGGUAGUACUCGCUUUGUAUGUAAUCAGGUUUUGAGUUGUAUUUUAACAUUCCAUCUGCAUAUAGACACUUGAUUGUAGCUCAGUGGUAGUACUCGCUUU